AUUGAACGCUGGCGGCAGGCCUAACACAUGCAAGUCGAGCGGAUGAGGAAAGCUUGCUUUUCGAUUCAGCGGCGGACGGGUGAGUAAUGCCUAGGAAUCUGCCUGUUAGUGGGGGAUAACUCGGGGAAACUCGGGCUAAUACCGCAUACGUCCCACGGGAGAAAGUGGGGGAUCUUCGGACCUCACGCUAACAGAUGAGCCUAGGUCGGAUUAGCUAGUAGGUGAGGUAAUGGCUCACCUAGGCGACGAUCCGUAACUGUUCUGAGAGGAUGUUCAGUCACGCUGGAACUGGGACACGGUCCAGACUCCUACGGGAGGCAGCAGUGGGGAAUAUUGGACAAUGGGCGAAAGCCUGAUCCAGCCAUGCCGCGUGUGUGAAGAAGGUCUUCGGAUUGUAAAGCACUUUAAGUUGGGAGGAAGGGUAUUCACCUAAUACGUGGGUACUUUGACGUUACCAACAGAAUAAGCACCGGCUAACUCUGUGCCAGCCGCCGCCGUAACAC
rnacentral:rRNA from 1 species